GAACCCACAAAGGGUGUUG
rnacentral:snRNA from 1 species